CAAAAAAAUUGAGUUAAGCCUAGCAUUACCCUCACCUUAUCGAACUCUAUUCACACUCCACACAAAUAAAACGAGUUUCUUCCUCUCUCUGUCCACGAGCUGCUUCUUCUCUCCGUUGCACGAGCUUCUUCCGUCGCUGCCGUAACCGCUCGCGUCUCACGAUCUCUCUCUGUCAUCCCUUGCGUCGCACGAGCCCCUCCGCCGCCGCUCUUGUUGCGUCUACUCCCUUUGUCGCCAUCAUUGCAGAACCCUAUCUGCCACUCUUGUCGCGUCUGCUCCCUUCAUCACCGUCGUCGCACGAGCUCCCUUCGCCACUGCUCUCAUCGUAUCUGCUCUCAUCACUGACCUCAGCAACGGCCAAUCGCCGGUCAUCCUCAUCCACCGGUUCAGGAAUCACUACACUCAUCCUAAUUCAAAUUGCUUUUGUGGCUCCAAUCUGCCAUGUGGGAAUCACAUGUACACAAAAUAAGUCACUUCAUCUCUUCUUCGGUCUAUAUCUUUCAAUUUUUCGCUAAUUUGAAUUUCCUAAACUAGUUAAUACUAGUUUAGAAUCAUCAAUUUCAGUUUUCUGCUAUCAAUUUAAUACAGUUAAUACUAGUUUGGAUAAUCAUUUACUUCAUCAGUUUAUUGCCAUUGCCAUUUUCAGUAUCUGAUUUGUUUGUGUGAGAAAUGAAUGUGGUGGAUAGGUUUUUAAUUUUAUUUUAAUAUCAUUGGAUAUUAGGAAAAUCAUUUGAAAGUGUAUAGCAGUAUUAAGAGAGUUCUUGGUCAUGCACCUGCAGCCACAAGUUCUUCACAGCAUUUCUGAGUUUUUAGGACUGGUGCUGUAAAUGCUGCAUCAGGAUCAGCCUAUACAGAGUUUGGAAAUACCAAGCUCUCGUUUGUUCUUUCGUGUAACAUGGAUUCCUGUGUUAGCUUACUUGCUUGGUGCUGCCCCAAGAACACUUGCCACUUCUGCACCCUAAUUCUAUCUGGAGAGCCGACAACUCUGUCAAAACAUCUUCAACUCUGGAAAUAUAAUAAAGCUUCCUCAUAUUCCUUUAAUGUAUGCACAAAAUUUGGCUUCUGUAAAUGAGUUCAUUGGGCAGUCUUGGACUCCUGGGAUAAGACCAUACAAAAUCAGAUCACCAACUAUACCUUGUCAUCCCAGGAAAGCAUUUCAAACAAAGAGGAAUGGUUCUCCCAUUUCAACCUCUUUCCAUGGCUUUCAGCAAUAUCAAUUACUAUGUGGAUGUCCCUUUGGAAUUGAAACAACAAGGGAUACAAGAAGAAAGACUGCAAUUGCUUGUUAAUGUUACUGGAGCUUUUAGGCCUGGAGUGUUGACAGCAUUGGUUGGAGUAAGUGGGGCUGGAAAAACCACACUAAUGGAUGUCUUGGCUGGAAAAAAAACUGGAGGUGUUAUAGAAGGGAACACAUACAUAUCUGGUUAUCCCAAAAGGCAAGACAGUUUUGCAAGAAUUUCUGGUUAUUGUGAGCAGACAGAUGUUCAUUUCCCUUGCUUGAUUGUCUGGGAGUCGUUAUUGUUCUCUGCUUGGCUCCAGUUAUAUUCAGAUGUUGAUUUUAAAAUGCAAAAGGUAUGGUUAUUGCUGGUCAAAAUUUUAUCUCUGCAUUGAUGGAGGAUUGCUGUUGGGACAUGACAAAUUAUGAUGGUAGUAACAUGUUGAGUAUUGACGAAUAAAUGAUUCUCGUUAGGUAGGAGGUGCUUGAAUUAAUAAAAAAAGAUAUAUUUUAAUUAAUAAUUUAUAUUCGAUACAUUCGAGGUUAAUUUAAUAAUGUAUAAGUAUUUUAGUAUUUU